AACAGUCAUUGCACUUGCCGCAACAAAAACCAGAAAAUAUAUCCACAUGUUCAUCGUCAUCGACACUGAGUGCUCAAUCAGGCUUGUUAUCUACUACAAAUAAGGCUACAGAUCUUUCUGAAAUAUAUUUGAAAUUUGGUGACACAUCACCAAAACAUUGAUCAACUUUAACUGCAUCAGAAAUAGGAAUGGAUUCACCCAAUCGUAAUAAAAUUAUAAACGUGAAGAAAAGGCCUUAUCCACGAUAUUUUGGAGAAUGCCAUACUUCUGACAUGGAUAGUCCAAAAA